GCGGAGGAAAAGAAACUAACAAGGAUUCCCCUAGUAACUGCGAGUGAAGCGGGAAAAGCUCAAAUUUAAAAUCUGAUGGUGUCUCAGACCGUCCGAGUUGUAAUUUAGAGAAGCAUUAUCUGCACUGGACUGUGUGCAAGUCUUCUGGAAUGAAGCAUCGCAGAAGGUGAGAAUCCUGUCUUUGACACAGACUACCAGCGCUUUGUGAUAUGCUCUCGAAGAGUCGAGUUGUUUGGGAAUGCAGCUCUAAAUGGGUGGUAAAUUCCAUCUAAAGCUAAAUAUUGGCGAGAGACCGAUAGCGAACAAGUACCGUGAGGGAAAGAUGAAAAGAACUUUGGAAAGAGAGUUAAACAGUACGUGAAAUUGUUGAAAGGGAAACGCUUGAAGUCAGUCGCAUUGGUCAGGGAUCAAUCUUGCUUUUAGCUCGAUGUAUUCUCUGAUUAAUGGGUCAGCAUCAAUUUUGAUCAACGGAGAAAGGUUGAGAGAAUGUAGCAUCUUUAUUGAUGUGUUAUAGCUUUCGAUUGCAUACGUUGGUGGAGAUUGAGGAAUUCAGCCAUGCCGCAAGGUUUGGUUUAGGAUGCUGGCAUAAUGGCUUUAAUCGACCCGUCUU
rnacentral:rRNA from 1 species